rnacentral:rRNA from 1 species
AAUCAACGCUGGCGGCGUGCCUCAGACAUGCAAGUCGAACGAUUAAACUUUCCUUCGGGAAAGAUAUAAAGUGGCGCACGGGUGAGUAACACGUAGGUAAUGUACCUUUGGGUGGGGAAUAACCAUCGGAAACGAUGGCUAAUACCGCAUAAUGCAGCGGCAUCGCAAGAUGACAGUUGUUAAAGAUUUAUCGCCUAAAGAGCAGCCUGCGGCAGAUUAGGUAGUUGGAAGGUAAUGGCUUACCAAGCCUGCGAUCUGUAACCGACCUGAGAGGGUGGUCGGUCACACUGACACUGAAUAACGGGUCAGACUCCUACGGGAGGCAGCAGUCGGGAA